rnacentral:ncRNA from 1 species
AUAUAAAAGCGCCAGAACUGAGCAUAUAGCUUAGUUGACGAGGAAAUAGGAUUAUCGAAAAUUCGGCGGAUGUCCUAUGGGAUCUCACAGCCCAAGAAGCUAUAAUAAAUAUUAGAAGUGAUUCUAAGAACAAAAAAG